UACGUAGGGGGCUAGCGUUGUCCGGAAUCAUUGGGCGUAAAGCGCGUGUAGGCGGCCCGGUAAGUCCGCUGUGAAAGUCGGGGGCUCAACCCUCGGAAGCCGGUGGAUACUGUCGGGCUCGAGUACGGAAGAGGCGAGUGGAAUUCCUGGUGUAGCGGUGAAAUGCGCAGAUAUCAGGAGGAACACCGAUGGCGAAGGCAGGUCUCUGGGCCAUUACUGACGCUGAGAAGCGAAAGCAUGGGGAGCGAACAGG
rnacentral:rRNA from 1 species